GUAGGAAGGUAAAUAGGUAGGUAGGAAGGUAAAUAGGUAGGUAGGUAAAUAGGUAGGUAGGUAAAUAGGUAGGUAGGUAAAUAGGUAGGUAGGUAAAUAGGUAGGUAGGUAAAUAGGUAGGUAGGUAAAUAGGUAGGUAGGUAAAUAGGUAGGUAGGUAGGUAGGUAAAUAGGUAGGUAGGAAGGUAAAUAGGUAGGUAGGAAGGUAAAUAGGUAGGUAGGAAGGUAAAUAGGUAGGUAGGAAGGUAAAUAGGUAGGUAGGAAGGUAAAUAGGUAGGUAGGAAGGUAAAUAGGUAGGUAGGAAGGUAAAUAGGUA